rfam:Picea glauca, whole genome shotgun sequence.
GGGUGCGAUCAUACCAACGAUAAUGCACCAGAUCCCAUCAAAACUCCGCAGCUAAGCACGCUUGGGCUAGAGUAGUACUGGGAUGGGUGACCUCCCGGGAAGUCCUAGUGUUGCACCCU